rnacentral:rRNA from 1 species
UUGAACGCUGGCGGCAGGCCUAACACAUGCAAGUCGAACGGUAACAGGAAGCAGCUUGCUGCUUCGCUGACGAGUGGCGGUCGGGUGAGUAAUGUCUGGGAAACUGCCUGAUGGAGGGGGAUAACUACUGGAAACGGUAGCUAAUACCGCAUAACGUCGCAAGACCAAAGAGGGGGACCUUAGGGCCUCUUGCCAUCGGAUGUGCCCAGAUGGGAUUAGCUAGUAGGUGGGGUAACGGCUCACCUAGGCGACGAUCCCUAGCUGGUCUGAGAGGAUGACCAGCCACACUGGAACUGAGACACGGUCCAGACUCCUACGGGAGGCAGCAGUGGGGAAUAUUGCACAAUGGGCGCAAGCCUGAUGUAGCCAUGCCGCGUGUAUGAAGAAGGCCUUCGGGUUGUAAAGUACUUUCAGCGGGGAGGAAGGGAGUAAAGCUAAUACCUUUGCUCAUUGACGUUACCCGCAGAAGAAGCACCGGCUAACUCCGUG